rnacentral:rRNA from 1 species
GCUACAGGCUUAACACAUGCAAGUCGAGGGGCAGCAUGGUCUUAGCUUGCUAAGGCCGAUGGCGACCGGCGCACGGGUGAGUAACACGUAUCCAACCUGCCGUCUACUCUUGGACAGCCUUCUGAAAGGAAGAUUAAUACAAGAUGGCAUCAUGAGUCCGCAUGUUCACAUGAUUAAAGGUAUUCCGGUAGACGAUGGGGAUGCGUUCCAUUAGAUAGUAGGCGGGGUAACGGCCCACCUAGUCUUCGAUGGAUAGGGGUUCUGAGAGGAAGGUCCCCCACAUUGGAACUGAGACACGGUCCAAACUCCUACGGGAGGCAGCAGUGAGGAAUAUUGGUCAAUGGGCGAGAGCCUGAACCAGCCAAGUAGCGUGAAGGAUGACUGCCCUAUGGGUUGUAAACUUCUUUUAUAAAGGAAUAAAGUCGGGUAUGGAUACCCGUUUGCAUGUACUUUAUGAAUAAGGAUCGGCUAACUCCGUGCCAGCAGCCGCGGUAAUACGGAGGAUCCGAGCGUUAUCCGGAUUUAUUGGGUUUAAAGGGAGCGUAGAUGGAUAUUUAAGUCAGUUGUGAAAGUUUGCGGCUCAACCGUAAAAUUGCAGUUGAUACUGGAUAUCUUGAGUGCAGUUGAGGCAGGCGGAAUUCGUGGUGUAGCGGUGAAAUGCUUAGAUAUCACGAAGAACUCCGAUUGCGAAGGCAGCCUGCUA